rnacentral:lncRNA from 1 species
GGUGUGUUUAAAUAGAGGGCAACCUUUCCUAACCGAUUCGAAGGUUUGCGAUUCGCUUGAGGGAGGGAAACAAAAAGGACGAGGUCAACGCUCGAGGGCGAACCCAGCGAGAGACGAAGCUUGGUCCGUUGGAAGGCGCGAAAAGAAAAAGAGCGAUGCCGACUCCAGGCAGAAAGCGGCAGAACCUACAAUCUCUAUCCCCGGUGGCUGUGUGCAUCCUUUUUUUCUGAUUGACGCGGAAGUUCCGUUUGCCAAAAGACGUUGUGGAGGUAUGAGCGUUGUCGAGACACACAUGCUGGGGGCCGAUGCUGUUUUGUCUCUCAGCCUCAGAGGCCUUUGCCGUGUUCUGUCUCUAACCAAGAGGGGAUUUCACGGGGGAAGACACCCGCACGUUUUUCCGCUGUUCACUGGGAGCUGAGAAAGGUUGCGUGGACUUCUCGUAUGGAAGCCAUCCGUUUUUCCAGAAAAGUGUCCAGCGUGUCCCGUGAACGCAAAGAGUCGUGCCUCAGCUCCCCCCGGGCAUCGCGGAUUGAGAGUUCCCGGAAGAACCCAAGGGUUUUCCGAGUAUGAUGAAGAGAGUCCUUCCGGUUCUUCCACAAUUGCCAUGUCCCUGUGCCUGGGAAGCGGAUGCGGCCUGCGAGCAACACGCGUUUCAGUACCCAGUGCUCAGAUUUUUCUUUUUCAACGAGAAAACUGGUGAGGGAUACCUUGGUCUCUCGAUAGCGGGGCGUGUCGGGAGGUUCCAGGUUUCCUCGUUUCCGGGUAUGCUGACUGUUCUUGGCACAAAACCUUGUCACCGGAUGUCACCUUGCUACUGGGACGCACAUCCACCGCGAAACGCCCGGCACGAACUGCGUUUGAACACUUUGGUCUUCGACGAGG